AGAGGUGGCAAGCGUUGUUCGGAUUUAUUGGGCGUAAAGGGUUCGUAGGCGGCCCGGAAAGUUGGAUGUGAAAUCCCAUGGCUUAACCAUGGAACUGCAUUCAAAACUCCCGGGCUAGUGGGCGAGAGGGGUAAAGGGAAUUCCCGGUGUAAGGGUGAAAUCUGCAGAGAUCGGGAAGAACACCAGUCGCGAAGGCGCUUUACUGGCUCGCUUCAGACGCUGAGGGACGAAAGCUAGGGGAGCAAACGGGAUUAGAUACCCCGGUAGUCCUGGCCCUAAACGAUGAAUGCUUGGUGUGACGGGUAUCGAUCCCUGUCGUGCCGAAGCUAACGCAUUAAGCAUUCCGCCUGGGGAGUACGGUCGCAAGAUUA
rnacentral:rRNA from 1 species